rnacentral:rRNA from 1 species
GAUGAACGCUAGCUACAGGCUUAACACAUGCAAGUCGAGGGGCAGCAUGGUCUUAGCUUGCUAAGGCCGAUGGCGACCGGCGCACGGGUGAGUAACACGUAUCCAACCUGCCGUCUACUCUUGGACAGCCUUCUGAAAGGAAGAUUAAUACAAGAUGGCAUCAUGAGUCCGCAUGUUCACAUGAUUAAAGGUAUUCCGGUAGACGAUGGGGAUGCGUUCCAUUAGAUAGUAGGCGGGGUAACGGCCCACCUAGUCUUCGAUGGAUAGGGGUUCUGAGAGGAAGGUCCCCCACAUUGGAACUGAGACACGGUCCAAACUCCUACGGGAGGCAGCAGUGAGGAAUAUUGGUCAAUGGGCGAGAGCCUGAACCAGCCAAGUAGCGUGAAGGAUGACUGCCCUAUGGGUUGUAAACUUCUUUUAUAAAGGAAUAAAGUCGGGUAUGGAUACCCGUUUGCAUGUACUUUAUGAAUAAGGAUCGGCUAACUCCGUGCCAGCAGCCGCGGUAAUACGGAGGAUCCGAGCGUUAUCCGGAUUUAUUGGGUUUAAAGGGAGCGUAGAUGGAUGUUUAAGUCAGUUGUGAAAGUUUGCGGCUCAACCGUAAAAUUGCAGUUGAUACUGGAUAUCUUGAGUGCAGUUGAGGCAGGCGGAAUUCGUGGUGUAGCGGUGAAAUGCUUAGAUAUCACGAAGAACUCCGAUUGCGAAGGCAGCCUGCUAAGCUGCAACUGACAUUGAGGCUCGAAAGUGUGGGUAUCAAACAGGAUUAGAUACCCUGGUAGUCCACACGGUAAACGAUGAAUACUCGCUGUUUGCGAUAUACUGCAAGCGGCCAAGCGAAAGCGUUAAGUAUUCCACCUGGGGAGUACGCCGGCAACGGUGAAACUCAAAGGAAUUGACGGGGGCCCGCACAAGCGGAGGAACAUGUGGUUUAAUUCGAUGAUACGCGAGGAACCUUACCCGGGCUUAAAUUGCAGAUGAAUUACGGUGAAAGCCGUAAGCCGCAAGGCAUCUGUGAAGGUGCUGCAUGGUUGUCGUCAGCUCGUGCCGUGAGGUGUCGGCUUAAGUGCCAUAACGAGCGCAACCCUUGUUGUCAGUUACUAACAGGUUCCGCUGAGGACUCUGACAAGACUGCCAUCGUAAGAUGUGAGGAAGGUGGGGAUGACGUCAAAUCAGCACGGCCCUUACGUCCGGGGCUACACACGUGUUACAAUGGGGGGUACAGAGGGCCGCUACCACGCGAGUGGAUGCCAAUCCCCAAAACCUCUCUCAGUUCGGACUGGAGUCUGCAACCCGACUCCACGAAGCUGGAUUCGCUAGUAAUCGCGCAUCAGCCACGGCGCGGUGAAUACGUUCCCGGGCCUUGUACACACCGCCCGUCAAGCCAUGGGAGCCGGGGGUACCUGAAGUGCGUAACCGCGAGGAG